GCUCAGGACGAACGCUGGCGGCGUGCUUAACACAUGCAAGUCGAACGAUGAACCACCUUCGGGUGGGGAUUAGUGGCGAACGGGUGAGUAACACGUGGGCAAUCUGCCCUGCACUCUGGGACAAGCCCUGGAAACGGGGUCUAAUACCGGAUACUGAACCGCUUGGGCAUCCAGGCGGUUCGAAAGCUCCGGCGGUGCAGGAUGAGCCCGCGGCCUAUCAGCUUGUUGGUGAGGUAACGGCUCACCAAGGCGACGACGGGUAGCCGGCCUGAGAGGGCGACCGGCCACACUGGGACUGAGACACGGCCCAGACUCCUACGGGAGGCAGCAGUGGGGAAUAUUGCACAAUGGGCGAAAGCCUGAUGCAGCGACGCCGCGUG
rnacentral:rRNA from 1 species